GAGAAAAAGAAAAAGCAGGAAGAAUGAAAAAGAUUUUCACAAUUUUUUUCCCUCUUCCUCCUUUCUUCUCACCCCCUUCGCUUUUUGCCUCUCUCCUCCCAGAGGUGGAAAAGAAAGAACAAGAAGAGGAAAGAGAAGAGCAAGGGAAAGGAGAA
rnacentral:ribozyme from 13 species